rnacentral:rRNA from 1 species
GAAGAGCACUCCUACGGGAGGCAGCAGUGGGGAAUAUUGCACAAUGGGCGCAAGCCUGAUGCAGCCAUGCCGCGUGUAUGAAGAAGGCCUUCGGGUUGUAAAGUACUUUCAGCAGUGAGGAAGGUGGGUAUGUUAAUAGCAUAUUCAUUUGACGUUAGCUGCAGAAGAAGCACCGGCUAACUCCGUGCCAGCAGCCGCGGUAAUACGGAGGGUGCGAGCGUUAAUCGGAAUUACUGGGCGUAAAGCGCAUGCAGGUGGUUUGUUAAGUCAGAUGUGAAAGCCCGGGGCUCAACCUCGGAAUUGCAUUUGAAACUGGCAAACUAGAGUACUGUAGAGGGGGUAGAAUUUCAGGUGUAGCGGUGAAAUGCGUAGAGAUCUGAAGGAAUACCGGUGGCGAAGGCGGCCCCCUGGACAGAUACUGACACUCAGAUGCGAAAGCGUGGGGAGCAAACAGGAUUAGAUACCCUGGUAG